UCCGAGUUGACCCCGGCAGUCUCCUAUGAGUCCCCGACAUUACUCGCUGGCAACAUAGGACGAGGGUUGCGCUCGUUGCGGGACUUAACCCAACAUCUCACGACACGAGCUGACGACAACCAUGCACCACCUGUAAACCGGCCGCAAGCGGGGCGCCUGUUUCCAGGCGUUACCGGUCCAUGUCAAGCCUUGGUAAGGUUCUUCGCGUUGCAUCGAAUUAAUCCGCAUGCUCCGCCGCUUGUGCGGGCCCCCGUCAAUUCCUUUGAGUUUUAGCCUUGCGGCCGUACUCCCCAGGCGGGGCACUUAAUGCGUUAGCUGCGGCGCGGAAACCGUGGAAUGGCCCCCACACCUAGUGCCCAACGUUUACGGCAUGGACUAC
rnacentral:misc_RNA from 1 species